GAUGAAGAACGUAGUAAAAUGCGAUAAGUAGUGUGAAUUGCAGAAUUCAGUGAAUCAUCGAAUCUUUGAACGCACAUUGCGCCCCUUGGUAUUCCAUGGGGCAUGCCUGUUCGAGCGUCAUUUGUACCUUCAAGCUUUGCUUGGUGUUGGGUGUUUGUCUCGCCUUUGCGUGUAGACUCGCCUUAAAAUAAUUGGCAGCCGGCGUAUUGAUUUCGGAGCGCAGUACAUCUCGCGCUUUGCACUCAUAACGACAGCGUCCAAAAGUACAUUUUACACUCUUGACCUCGGAUCAGGUAGGGAUACCCGCUGAACUUAAGCAUAUCAAUAAGCGGAGGA
rnacentral:misc_RNA from 1 species